UACGUAGGUCCCGAGCGUUGUCCGGAUUUAUUGGGCGUAAAGCGAGCGCAGGCGGUUAGAUAAGUCUGAAGUUAAAGGCUGUGGCUUAACCAUAGUACGCUUUGGAAACUGUUUAACUUGAGUGCAAGAGGGGAGAGUGGAAUUCCAUGUGUAGCGGUGAAAUGCGUAGAUAUAUGGAGGAACACCGGUGGCGAAAGCGGCUCUCUGGCUUGUAACUGACGCUGAGGCUCGAAAGCGUGGGGAGCAAACAGGAUUAGAUACCCUGGUAGUCCACGCCGUAAACGAUGAGUGCUAGGUGUUAGACCCUUUCCGGGGUUUAGUGCCGCAGCUAACGCAUUAAGCACUCCGCCUGGGGAGUACGACCGCAAGGUUGAA
rnacentral:rRNA from 1 species